UACAGAGGGUGCGAGCGUUGUUCGGAAUUAUUGGGCGUAAAGGGCGCGUAGGCGGUGCCACAAGUCACUUGUGAAAUCCCCGGGCUUAACUCGGGGCCUGCAGGCGAAACUGUGGUGCUGGAGUAUGGGAGAGGUGCGUGGAAUUCCCGGUGUAGCGGUGAAAUGCGUAGAUAAUCGGGAGGAACACCUGUGGCGAAAGCGGCGCACUGGACCAUAACUGACGCUGGAGGCGCGAAAGCUAGGGAGC
rnacentral:rRNA from 1 species